CAAGUCUUGGUAUCCAAGUAAAUAUUACUAUGGAAGAAAUGGUGAUGAUAAUGGGAAUGGAAAUGGCGAUGAUAAUGGAAAUGGUAACGGCGAUGAUAACGGAAAUGGCGAUGAUAACGGAAAUGGUGACAACGGAAAUGGCGACGACGAUGUCAUGAAAACAUAUUAUUCUUCAUUUAGAUCCUACAAACCCUACUACCCAUAUCGACGAUACUUCCCGUACAAGUAUAAAUAUAGGUAUCCAAGUAAAUAUUACUACUCAGGCAGGAAAUAUUACAGAAAGAAGAAAUACAGUUACUGAGUAUAACGCAUGAUCCUAAAAUAUAUUGAAUGUUUGUGUGGGAUGCUAACGGUUGGAAGAAAUUAAACGUUAUUUACAUUAA